UAAUAUUAAGGACUCAUAAUAUGGAGCUGAAUGAGACAUAGUAUCAGCUUUUUACCAGCUCACUGUCUAUCAGAGAAGAUGGAGAGGAAGUCUAUCAAUUUUCAUGUUGAAAUCCAUACAUGCUGCACAAGACAACAGGAAGUGAAGUAAUUUGACACAUAAUGUGAUGAGAAUCUCCUCUACCAUGAAGGGACAGAUGAACUCUGUGGCUGGUGACAAGAGUAUUUAUGCAAUAGGAAAAAGGAAUAUUUUGAUUUUGAAAGGCAAGUUGAAUCUAGUGACUCAUUAAAUAAGGAAGCAUGCAAAUAAUUUCACAGCAAUGA
rnacentral:lncRNA from 1 species